rnacentral:lncRNA from 1 species
CGUUCUCCAGGUGGACGCCUGACUUGUUUAAUUCUUAUCCUCGUUCUCCAGGUGGACGCCUGACUUCUUCAAUUCUCAUCCUCAUUCUCCAGGUGGACGCCUGAUUUCUUUUUAAUUUCUUAUCCUCAUUCUCCAGGUGGACGCCUGAUUUCUUCAAUUCUUUGUCCUCAUUCUCCAGGUGGACGCCUGACUUCUUCAAUUCUCAUCCUCAUUCUCCAGGUGGACGCCUGACUUCUUUAAUUCUUAUCCUCGUUCUCCAGGUGGACGCCUGACUUCUUUAAUUCUCAUCCUCAUUCUCCAGGUGGACGCCUGACUUCUUCUUUUCUCAUCCUCAUUCUCCAGGUGGACGCCUGACUUCUUUUUUUCUCAUCCUCAUUCUCCAGGUGGACGCCUGACUUCUUCAAUUCUCAUCCUCAUUCUCCAGGUGGACACCUGACUUCUUUAAUUCUCAUCCUCAUUCUCCAGG